rnacentral:rRNA from 1 species
AUUGAACGCUGGCGGCAGGCCUAACACAUGCAAGUCGAGCGAGCGGCGGACGGGUGAGUAAUGUAUGGGGAUCUGCGCGAUCGAGGGGGAUAACUACUGGAAACGGUGGCUAAUACCGCAUACGAUCGUUUGGACCCUUAUUGGAGUAGCUAGUAGGUGGGGUAAAGGCUCACCAAGGCGACGAUCUCUAGCUGGUCUGAGAGGAUGAUCAGCCACACUGGGACUGAGACACGGCCCAGACUCCUACGGGAGGCAGCAGUGGGGAAUAUUGCACAAUGGACGCAAGUCUGAUGCAGCAAUGCCGCGUGUGUGAAGAAGGCCUUAGGGUUGUAAAGUACUGUCAGCGGGGAGGCGUUACCCGCAGAAGAAGCACCGGCUAACUACGUGCCAGCAGCCGCGGUAAUUC